rnacentral:rRNA from 1 species
GACGAACGCUGGCGGCGUGCCUAAUACAUGCAAGUCGAGCGGAACUGGGGGAGCUUGCUCCUUCCAGUUUAGCGGCGGACGGGUGAGUAACACGUGGGCAACCUGCCCUGCAGAUCGGGAUAACUCCGGGAAACCGGUGCUAAUACCGAAUAGUUUGGCGCCUCUCCGGAGGCGCUACGGAAAGACGGUUUCGGCUGUCACUGCAGGAUGGGCCCGCGGCGCAUUAGCGAGUUGGUGGGGUAACGGCCCACCAAGGCGACGAUGCGUAGCCGAACUGAGAGGGUGACCGGCCACACUGGGACUGAGACACGGCCCAGACUCCUACGGGAGGCAGCAGUAGGGAAUCUUCCGCAAUGGACGCAAGUCUGACGGAGCAACGCCGCGUGAGUGACGAAGGUUUUCGGAUCGUAAAACUCUGUUGUGAGGGAAGAACACGUACCAACUAACUAUUGGUACCUUGACGGUACCUCACCAGAAAGCCACGGCUAACUACGUGCCAGCAGCCGCGGUAA